rnacentral:rRNA from 16 species
AAGGACAGUGCAUGGUGGGUAGUUUGACUGGGGCGGUCUCCUCCCAAAGGGUAACGGAGGAGCACGAAGGUCUGCUGAUUACGGUCGGACAUCGUAAGGUCAGUGCAAUGGCAUAAGCAGGCUUGACUGCGAGAGCAACAACUCGAGCAGGUGCGAAAGCAGGUCAUAGUGAUCCGGUGGUACUGAAUGGAAAGGCCAUCGCUCAACGGAUAAAAGGACGGCGGGGAAAACAGGCUGA